rnacentral:rRNA from 1 species
GGAGCUUGCUCCCGGAUGUUAGCGGCGGACGGGUGAGUAACACGUGGGUAACCUGCCUGUAAGACUGGGAUAACUCCGGGAAACCGGAGCUAAUACCGGAUAGUUCCUUGAACCGCAUGGUUCAAGGAUGAAAGACGGUUUCGGCUGUCACUUACAGAUGGACCCGCGGCGCAUUAGCUAGUUGGUGGGGUAAUGGCUCACCAAGGCGACGAUGCGUAGCCGACCUGAGAGGGUGAUCGGCCACACUGGGACUGAGACACGGCCCAGACUCCUACGGGAGGCAGCAGUAGGGAAUCUUCCGCAAUGGACGAAAGUCUGACGGAGCAACGCCGCGUGAGUGAUGAAGGUUUUCGGAUCGUAAAGCUCUGUUGUUAGGGAAGAACAAGUGCGAGAGUAACUGCUCGCACCUUGACGGUACCUAACCAGAAAGCCACGGCUAACUACGUGCCAGCAGCCGCGGUAAUACGUAGGUGGCAAGCGUUGUCCGGAAUUAUUGGGCGUAAAGGGCUCGCAGGCGGUUUCUUAAGUCUGAUGUGAAAGCCCCCGGCUCAACCGGGGAGGGUCAUUGGAAACUGGGAAACUUGAGUGCAGAAGAGGAGAGUGGAAUUCCACGUGUAGCGGUGAAAUGCGUAGAGAUGUGGAGGAACACCAGUGGCGAAGGCGACUCUCUGGUCUGUAACUGACGCUGAGGAGCGAAAGCGUGGGGAGCGAACAGGAUUAGAUACCCUGGUAGUCCACGCCGUAAACGAUGAGUGCUAAG